CUGAUAAAUUAUCCAAUGUUUUGUUUACAUCGGUGGUUACGAAUCUAGCGCUAACGGUGUACGUAUCCAAUGACCUUAAAGUAUAUAUGAGCUGCGAAUUGUGCAUUUAUAUAUCAUAUUGAGCAUACUUAUUUACCGGCCAAGUAACGAAACAGGUAGAUCGCGGCUAAAUGUUCUUCGAGGAUGUACGCUCCGGGCGGCAAGUACUCGGCCAUGAUGCCGACGCGGCUGUCCAGCAAAAAGAACGACGAACAAAAUGCCGUCGAAGAUUAACAGCGACAAAUGUCCGAGCACGCACGUCACUUUGGGCCAGAAACCGCCAUCAGGCUGACACAGCACGACGCAUAGACACGCAUUUUCGUUUUUAAAUAUAGUGCCGGUGGACCGGCUUCCGGGGACGCGGUGUUCACGAUCGGCUUACCCGUGCAUCGUAAUAGGGAUAACUACGUCAUAUCAAUCGUACAAGACAUUUGGUCACCAUCCGGUACCGCCGUUGUUCCGGUUUCCGCAGUUGCAAACUUUGCGAUCGGUUUGUCCGCGCAAGUAGUUGGGCUCUGCAAGUACUUUUCAAGUGCAUACGGCAAUGCGUGUCUAUGCGUCGUGCUGUGUCCGCCUGAUGACGGCUUCUGGCCCAGAGUAACGUGCGUUCUCGGAUUUUUGUCGCUGUUAAUCUUCGAGCAUAUUCCACGAGAACGAAUUUACGGUAUUUUCGUAAUUCCGCGGUAGACGUGAGAUGACUGCACAGAGAUGCUGAAAGCUCCGAAAUCGGCUCGUCAACAACGGUGCUUGAACCAUUGGCAAAUGAAUCAUCCGAUUAUCGUAGGUAAAUGUACAAUAAGCCGAAAAAGUUUGCGAACAAUGCGAUAUACCACAACGAUAAAAACUCGAUGAUGUUAGUGAAUGAACAUACUUCAAAUGUAGGUACCAUGAACUGAUCAAGUUCAGUAAAUAAAUCUUUACAGAUAAAGCAAAUUAAAUACAUCGUUUAAAUUAAUGGAAUUAUUUUUACAUAAAUAUUUAUUUAUUUAAUUGAAUUAUGUUACCAAAAUAUUAGUUUGAAAAAUAAAAGAAUUAACAAUAUUAUAA